GAAUGUGAAGAAACAGAAAGCUUUUUCCUUCCUUGGUUUCGUUUUCUUGAAUUUGAACGAAUAGUAAAAACGCUCGCUUUUGACACCUAAGCUUCCAGCAAAUCUAUCUAUCUAUUAAUCUUUUUUUUCCCCCUUUUUCUCUUCUUUUUAUAUAUUUUUAGGUUUCUUCAGGGAUUUUUCUUUUUCUUUUCUAUUCUUCUUUUUAAAAAUCUUUCUUGAGGGUUCACAUUUCUUGUUCACACCAUCUCCAUAUAAAUCUUUCAUGUUUCUCUCUCUCCAUCUUUUCUUCUUUCUGUCAAUCUUCUCUUUUUUGGAUAAUCAUCCUUUUGAAGGCUGCAAAAACAUAAGACUUAUCGAUAAUCUUGUGUGGCUUUUGUAUGCUUUGCGUGUGAUAGUUGUAAAUGGAAGGGCACCAACACCAUCAUCAUCAAUAUCAGCAGCAGCAGUAUCAAUAUCAUCAGCAGCAGCAACAACCACCUACCAGCAGUGUUAACGUUGAUCCUGAUAGAUUCCCUCAAUGGAGUAUUCAGGAAACGAAGGAAUUCCUGAUGAUCAGAGCGGAGCUGGAUCGAAGUUUCAUGGAGACCAAGAGGAAUAAGCUGCUUUGGGAAGUUAUCUCUACCAGGAUGAGGGAAAAGGGUUUUAAUCGAAGCACUGAACAGUGCAAGUGCAAGUGGAAAAACCUCGUUACUCGGUACAAGGGAUGUGAAACGAUGGAAGAAGAAGCUAUGCGGCAACAGUUCCCAUUUUACAAUGAGUUGCAAGCCAUAUUCUCAGCAAGGAUGCAAAGUAUUUUAUGGUCAGAAAGUGAAGGAGGAGUGACCGGGUCGAAGAGGAAGGCGGUGCAGCUAUCUUCAGACGAGGAAGAAGAUACGGAGGAAAAAGAGUUAGAAAGGAGUAGCGUUAGGAAGAAGAAGCAAGGCAAAACCAGUGGUGGUGCAGGUAUUGGUGGCAGUACAAGCGGGAACGGCAAUAAUAGUAAUAAUAUAAAGGAGAUAUUAGAGGAUUUCAUGAGGCAACAAAUGCAGAUGGAAAUGCAAUGGAGGGAAGCGUUCGAGGCGAGAGAACACGAGAGGCGGUUGAAGGAGAUGGAAUGGAGGCAGAAGAUGGAAGCAUUGGAGAACGAGAGGAUAUUGAUGGAUAGGAGAUGGUAUGAAAGGGAAGAACAAAGGAGAAUGAGAGAAGAAGCUAGAGCUGAGAAGAGAGACGCCCUCAUCACUGCACUGCUAAACAAGCUCAGAAGAGAUGAUCACAUGUAGACGACAAGUAUUUAUUUAUUCAUGCAUGUUUUAGCAGGAGAUGAAGCCUUUGUUUGAGAGUUAUUAAUAGACUCUAACAUGCAUCUGCAAAAGGGUAAAAAACAAUUUGUACCGUGUGUUUUUCGAUGAUCUUUCCAGCCAAAUGGAUUGACUUAUUAUGAUUGGAGACAACCAAGCUUUAACCAUGUCUGUAUGCAUGUAAUCCACCAAUAGAUUCAGAUAUGAUUUGAGGAAAUAAGAAGAAGCUUCAGAUUUGCAGGACAGCUAUCACUCUAACCGUGUUUCUCAUAGGAGAUAUAAAGAUGCUUAUUAAAUUCACCGACGUACGUAUGUAUUAUAUAUGCUGUCACGAGCAUAUAUGGAUGUAUCAGCAUAAAACUUCGCAAAAUGGUACUUGUAACUUUUCAUUCACUUUCCUAUUUAUCUCUUCAUACAACUAAAUGCACUUCUGUUUCUCUUUCCUCAGAAAUUGUUUACGUCGGUAUUCUUGCUUCAAUUACUUAGAAAUUGAAGAAAUGAAGGGCUAGAAGGGAUAGUUAAUAAGUGACCUUGGUGGAUUCGAGUCGCGGAAAUUAUUUGCUGUGGGACUGAUUUGUUCUUGUACGCAUGGUCAUAUGUUUGGUUUUUUUCAUGAUUUAGUUAUUACCAACUUAUUCCACUUGUUGACUAAUAAAUUUUGCAUGCUAUAUUAAUGUGAAGGCCAGAUUCUAGUGUCAUA